rnacentral:lncRNA from 1 species
GGGGUGGGGUCCCGGGUCUGCUCAGGAGCUGGGGCAUGGGCACUUGGAACGGGGAUUGCUCUCCCGCCCCCACUAUUGUACGGACGACAACGCGGAGGCCUAGCAUUCUCUCCCAGCCUAGAAACUGAUCCCUAGUCAGCCCUCUACCAUCUGUUGAAUGGGAAGCUUAGACCGUGAUCGGGCCGCGACGCCCCGCUUCCAUUAGUGCGCCGAAAUAGAGGGUCACUUCGUCAGCUGAGACCUCCCUUUUCUCCAGGCCACGGGGACAGACCAGGUGGUGGGACUCGGCCUCGUCGCCGUUAGCCUGAUCAUCUUCACCUACUACACCGCCUGGGUGAUUCUCUUGGACUGUUCAUCUCCUAUGUGAUGCUGAAGACCAAGAGAGUGACCAAGAAGGCUCAGUGAAGGUCCCGCAGGGAUGAGGCUGCCAGCCCCUUCUCUGCUUCCCCUCCAGCACAGGGACCAAGUGGGGGAGCCUGCAGAACCUGUCCAGGCACAGUGGCUCCUCAAGCCUGCCUGUCCUGCAGAGUCCCCAUGGCAUGGAGCUUACACCUGACUGACUGGAGCCCCCUCCCCGACUCCCACUUCCAGAAGCUAGGAGGGAGGGAUACCUGGAAGACUCCGGUCACCUCCUUCUUGCUCAGGGCCUAAAAGAUGCUGGUCCUCCCAACCUCACUCUCAGACUCCCUGCCACCUUUUCCCCUGGGUUCUGCCGUCUUGCCUCACUUCCCCUCCUGUCACAUG